UUUUCUAUUUCUUAAACAGGGAACUUAAACAUUAAGUUAAACCUAUUCCAAAUACAUUUUCAAACUAUUCAAAUGAUGAAAGUUAUUGUUGUUUUUUGAGCGUUUAUUAGCGAGUGGGAACUACCAACAUGGCCGCCAUCUCUUCAAAUGGAGGUAAGCGCUGGAAUAUUCUUGGCUGAAUUCAAUUUUACUAAAAGAAAUGCGCUAUCUAGUGUAUAUAAGAUAUCUAUGGGGACGCCAAGGAGGGAAUGAUGUCUGAAGUUCAGUAAGUUUUGCUUCUAUUGCUGUAGAAAUAUGCUGCGCCAAUUUUACAGCAUCAAUAAUAAUUGAAUUUAAAUAUAUAAUAGUUUUGUUUGUGCAAACACAAUGUACGUAAAUUUAUUACUGCAUUUAAAUAAUUGGCAAUAUUUAACUAUUAUUUCGUGUUUCUCAACCGCCAGAUACAUUUAAAAAGGUUGCUAAACUACAACUUUAACACUUUUGAUUGCAAAUACGCCAGAUUGAAAAAAUUGCCUUUUACUUAGAAAAUAUAUAAUUGUAUUUUAUGUAUAUAAAACCACAAAUAUUUCUAUUCGGAAAACACACCAACUGUCCAAAUCUUUCAGUACAUAUAAAACUACGUAUAAAAACUACCUAUGUAAGUUAUUGCAUAUAACAGUUCGUUUUAACUUCUGUUUAGGAAACGUGGCUGACAUAUAACGUAGCAGCCAUUUCAUUUAUAUUGGACUUAUAGUCCAUAAUGUACGAUUUACAAUCAUUUCAAGUUAGUCCGUUCGAUUCAAUGUCAUAUUCUUCGUUUGAAGAAAUUUAGUUUAAGAGAUUAUUACGAAAUCACUAUAAAAUAGCUGUUUAUAACUUCAAUGGUUAUGGAGCGGUCACUAUAA